AGAUCAACUGGCCGGAGUUGUCGACGACGAGGGCCGUUACAGCCGGCUCUGUGUAGUCCACGUGCGGAUGUGGUGCGACGCCGGGGUGAUGUG
rnacentral:tRNA from 1 species